AUCUCAAAUCNAGUAAGACUACCCGCUGAANUUAAGGAAUUAAGCAUAUCAAUAAGCGGAGGAAAAGAAACUAACAAGGAUUCCCCUAGUAACGGCGAGUGAAGCGGGAUGAGCUCAAAUUUAAAAUCUGGCUGGUUUACUAGUCCGAAUUGUAGUUUAAAGAAGCGUUUUCGGUGGCAGCCUGGGUAUAAAUCCUUUGGAACAGGGUAUCAUAGAGGGUGAGAAUCCCGUCUUUGACUCAGUGCAUGCUACUAUGUGAUACGUUUUCAAAGAGUCGAGUUGUUUGGGAAUGCAGCUCAAAAUGGGUGGUAAAUUUCAUCUAAAGCUAAAUAUUGGCGAGAGACCGAUAGCGAACAAGUACCGUGAGGGAAAGAUGAAAAGAACUUUGAAAAGAGAGUUAAACAGUGCGUGAAAUUGUUGAAAGGGAAACGCUUGACACCAGUCAUGCGAGCGGAAAAUCAGUCUUUUGCGGUGGGGAGAUGUGUGGGUUCGGACCGCAAGGCCGGCCUGCGCUUCAUCUCUGCCGUAAGUGAUGCACUUUUUCGUUUGCAGGCCAACAUCAGUUUCUUCUGCUGGACAAAACUCUUGAGAAGGUAGCAGCUUAGGCUGUGUUAUAGCUCUUGAGCGAUACAGUGGAGGAGACUGAGGUUUUCGCAGCGCGUGCUCUCGGGCAAGGCUGAUUGGGUGCUAUGGGAUCGUUCGGUGUACAAUGCAUGCAUUUUGCGCCGUGUCUUUUCUAUACUCGCUCA
rnacentral:rRNA from 1 species